CAUGUUGGUCAGGCUGGUCUUGAACUCCUUGUUGGGGACCUUGUGUUCCCCCAGCUUUGGCCUCCCAAAGUGCUGGGAUUACAGGCGUAAGCCCCCGCACCCGGCCUAGGGGGCGGAUUUUCUCAGCAUGCUGUUUUGUGUUUGUAAAUUGUUCUUAAGCUGGGCAGAACCAACAGCCUGGCUCCUGGUGAGCCCUGGGACAGAGGUGGGAGCAGCUGGCCAAUGUGAUAUACUUCCCAGGGCCAGGUGCUGGAAGACAGUGGGGAUUGAGGCAGGCAGGUCUCAUCUGUAGAGCCCAAUCUAGGGGGUAACAGAUGGAAGGAUAAGCACUGCAAGUGGGGACACAGGGACCAUGAGACCCAGGAGAUCAGGGAAGGCUUCCUGGAGGAAGUGACUGCUGGAGGAAGGCUUCCUAGAGGAAGUGAGGAAGAGCGGAGACCUGGCACACAGGCACAUGUUGGCCAGAGUUUGGCUCAGAUUGUGCUGCUGCAAAGGGCCUGGGGAUCAGAAAAGAUGCUGAGAUCUGGGGGAGAGAAGAAAGGGAAGCCCAGAGGCCCUGUCCGAGCCACACCCACCUCACUCUCACCCCUGCUCUUUUCCCUCCAGAUCGAGACGCUGCCUCCAGAGCUCUUCCAGUGCCGGAAGCUACGGGCCCUGCACCUGGGCAACAAUGUGCUGCAGUCACUGCCCUCAAGGGUGGGCGAGCUGACCAACCUGACGCAGAUCGAGCUGCGAGGCAACCGGCUGGAGUGCCUGCCCGUGGAGCUGGGCGAGUGCCCACUGCUCAAGCGCAGCGGCUUGGUGGUGGAGGAGGACUUGUUCAACACGCUGCCGCCCGAGGUGAAGGAGCGGCUCUGGAGGGCUGACAAGGAGCAGGCCUGAGCGAGGCCGGCCCAGCACAGCAAGCAGCGGGACCACCGGCCAGUCCUCAGGCCCAGAGGGCCAGGCCCAGCUUCUCCCAGAACUCCUGGACAGCCAGGCCAGCCUCGUGGCCAGGCAGGAGCCUGGGGCCACUUGUGAGUCGGGCCAGAGCGAGAGGACAGUAUCUGCGGGGCUGGCCCCUUUUCUCCCUCUGAGACUCACGCCCCCCCAGGGCAAGCGCUUGUCGAGGAGAGCAAGUCUCAAGAGCGCAGUAUUUGGAUAAUCAGGGUCUCCUCCCUGGAGGCCAGCUCUGUCCCAGGGGCUGAGCUGCCACCAGAGGUCCUGGGACUCUCACUUUAGUUCUUGGUAUUUAUUUUUCUCCAUCUCCCACCUCCUUCAUCCAGAUAACUUAUACAUUCCCAAAAAGUUCAGCCCAGAUGGAAGGUGUUCAAGGAAGGGUGGGCUGCCUUUUUCCCUUGUCCUUAUUUAGUGAUGCCGCCGGGCAUUUAAUGCCCACCCAGAGUGGUCGGGGUGAACCAGCAGAGUGGUCCGGGGUGAACAGAGUGGUCCGGGGUGGACCAGCCAUGGGACGGUCACCCAGCGGUACCGGGCUGGGCUCUGCGGUGCGGUCCACGGGAGAGCAGGCCUCCAGCUGGAAAGGCCAGGCCCGGAGCUUGCCUCUUCAGUUUUUGUGGCAGUUUUAGUUUUAGUUUUUGUUUUUUUUUAAUCAGGAAACUUUUUUUAAAAAAAAAAGCUUUGAAAAUGGAUGGUUUGGGUAUUAAAAAGCAAAAAACCACUUAAAAAAAAAAAAAGACACUAAUGGCCAGUGAGUUGGAGUCUCAGGGUGGGGUGGCAGUUUCCCUUGAGCAAAGCAGCCAGACAUUGAACUGUGUUUUGUUUCCCUGGGCGCAGGGUGCAGGGUGUCUUCUGGAUCUGGUGUGACCUUGGUCCAGGAGUUCUAUUUGUUUCUGGGGCAGGGAGGUUUUUUUGUUUGUUUUUUGGUUUUUUUGGUGUCUUGUUUUCUUUCUCCUCCAUGUGUCUUGGCAGGCACUCAUUUCUGUGGCUGUCGGCCAAAGGGAAUGUUCUGGAGCUGCCAAGGAGGGAGGAGACUCGGGUUGGCUAAUCCCCGGAUGAACGGUGCUCCAUUCCCACCUCUCCUCGCGCCUGCCCGGCCUCUCCACGCACAGUGUUAAGGAGCCAAAAGGAGCCACUUCGCCCAGACUCUGUUUCCCCACCUCCUGCGGCAUGGGUGUGCCCAGUGCCACCGCUGGCCUCGCUGCUUCCAUCAGCCCUGUCGCCACCUGGUCCUUCAUGAAGAGCAGACACUUAGAGACUGGCCGGGAAUGGGGAGGUCGCCCCUGGGAGGGCAGGCUUUGGUUCCAAGCCAGUUCCUUCCCUGGUGCCUGGAGUGCACACAGCCCAGUCAGCGCCUGGUGGCUGGAAGCCACCCUGCUUUAGAUCAGUCACUCGGGUCCCCACCUUAGACGGGUCCCCGCCUUAGAUCAAUCACGUGGACACUAAGGCACGUUUUAGCGUCUCUUGUCUUAAUGAUUAUGUCCAUCCGUCUGUCCGUCCAUUUGUGUUUUCUGCGUCGUGUCAUUGGAUAUAAUCCUCAGAAAUAAUGCACACUAGCCUCUGACAGCCAUGAAGCAAUCCGUUACAUGUGGGUCUGAACUUGGAGACUCGGUCACAGUAUCAAAUAAAUCUAUAACAGAAAGUG